CGCCUGUUUUAACAAAAACAUCGUCUUUUGAUAACACCCCCAUAAAAGAUAAUGCCUGCCCAGUGAAAUUUUAAACGGCCGCGUUAGCGUGAGCGUGCUAAGGUAGCGUAAUAAUUAGCCUUUUAAUUGGAGGCCAGUGAAUGGCAAGACUAGGAACACCUUUACUUUGUGUGUAAAAAAAACUUUUCGUCUAAGUGAAAAGACUUAGAUAAUAAAGGUAGACGAAAAGACCCCGCGGAACUUUACCUUUUCCUGUACUACAGUAUAUUUACUUAAAAGUAUUUAAGGUUUGAUUGGGGCAAUCUUGGAACCAACAAAGCUUCCAAUUUUUUAAAAAAACCCAUUUAAAAUUUAUUAUGGACCAAAAAGAAGUUACCCCGGGGAUAACAGCGUAAUCCAACUAAAGAGUACAUAUCGAAAGUUGGGUUUGCGACCUCGAUGUUGGCUUAAGGAUAUCCACAUUAGUGCAACCGCUAUGACAGGACAGUCUGUUCGACUAUUAUACCCUUACAUGAUCUGAGUUCAGACCGG
rnacentral:rRNA from 1 species